CGUAGGUGGCAAGCGUUAUCCGGAUUUACUGGGUGUAAAGGGCGCGUAGGCGGGAGAACAAGUCAGAUGUGAAAUGUGGGGGCUUAACCCUCAAGCUGCAUUUGAAACUGUACUUCUUGAGUAUCGGAGAGGCAGGCGGAAUUCCUAGUGUAGCGGUGAAAUGCGUAGAUAUUAGGAGGAACACCAGUGGCGAAGGCGGCCUGCUGGACGACAACUGACGCUGAGGCGCGAAAGCGUGGGGAGCAAACAGGAUUAGAUACCCUGGUAGUCCACGCUGUAAACGAUGAAUACUAGGUGUGGGGGGACUAACCCCCUCCGUGCCGCAGUUAACACAAUAAGUAUUCCACCUGGGGAGUACGGCCGCAAGGUUG
rnacentral:rRNA from 1 species